UACGGAGGGUGCAAGCGUUAUCCGGAUUCACUGGGUUUAAAGGGUGCGUAGGCGGGCAGGUAAGUCCGUGGUGAAAUCCCCGAGCUUAACUCGGGAACUGCCAUGGAUACUAUUUGUCUUGAAUAUUGUGGAGGUAAGCGGAAUAUGUCAUGUAGCGGUGAAAUGCUUAGAUAUGACAUAGAACACCGAUUGCGAAGGCAGCUUACUACACAGUUAUUGACGCUGAGGCACGAAAGCGUGGGGAUCAAACAGG
rnacentral:rRNA from 1 species